ensembl:lncRNA
AUCUUUGCCUGUGAAGAUUGCAUAUUUGAGUACCAAUCAGACCAAAAAAGUAAAAUAAGCAUCUAAAUUUCAUUUUCUUUCCCUUAGACUCCCUUAACAUAGAUCUCCAACAUAUAUCAUUCUAUUUGCAAUAUUUGACCAUACUUUACUGAAACUAUUGAAGUCCUGUCAAGUUCCUUGGGGAACUUACUUUGGUUGUGUGCUUCCAGUCAUUAUGAAAGCGGCGGCGCCCUACAAUGAGAGUAGUGAUAAAACCUGAUGUGUCACCACUGCUUUAAGAACCCAACAGAAACAACUAAACGAAUCCUAAAAUGGCUAAUUUUACACUGAUGGAAAUAUAAGUUGAUGUGCUGUUAUGAAGGUGAUUGCUUAGAGAAGUCAUUUUAGGAUUUCUAUUACAAGGAUAUUGGUAACUUCAAAUAGUGUUCAUUCAUUGUUGAAUUUUAAUAUUACAUUUUAUUUCAUACCCACUCAAAAAUUAUGCUGAGUGGUGUCUAGGUAUGUGGGUAUUCAUUCUUGUCUAAGUGAUUUUGAGUCUUGUUGAGGUGCUUUUUCAAAG